rnacentral:rRNA from 1 species
CCUACGGGGGGCAGCAGUGGGGAAUAUUGCACAAUGGGCGCAAGCCUGAUGCAGCCAUGCCGCGUGUGUGAAGAAGGCCUUCGGGUUGUAAAGCACUUUCAGCGGGGAGGAAGGCGUUAAGGUUAAUAACCUUGUCGAUUGACGUUACCCGCAGAAGAAGCACCGGCUAACUCCGUGCCAGCAGCCGCGGUAAUACGGAGGGUGCGAGCGUUAAUCGGAAUUACUGGGCGUAAAGCGCACGCAGGCGGUCUGUCAAGUCGGAUGUGAAAUCCCCGGGCUCAACCUGGGAACUGCAUUCGAAACUGGCAGGCUAGAGGCUUGUAGAGGGGGGUAGAAUUCCAGGUGUAGCGGUGAAAUGCGUAGAGAGCCGGAGGAAUACCGGUGGCGAAGGCGGCCCCCUGGACAAAGACUGACGCUCAGGUGCGAAAGCGUGGGGAGCAAACAGGAUUAGAUACCCCUGUAGUC